GUCUGGGUGGUGCAAAUGGUUAACGCACUCGGCUGCUGACCAAAAUGUUGGUGGUUCAAAUCCACCCAAAGGCA
rnacentral:tRNA from 1 species